AUUGAACGCUGGCGGCAUGCCUUACACAUGCAAGUCGAACGGUAACAGGUCUUCGGAUGCUGACGAGUGGCGAACGGGUGCGUAAUACAUCGGAACGUGCCCGAUCGUGGGGGAUAACGAAGCGAAAGCUUUGCUAAUACCGCAUAAGAUCUACGGAUGAAAGCAGGGGACCGCAAGGCCUUGCGCGAACGGAGCGGCCGAUGGCAGAUUAGGUAGUUGGUGGGAUAAAAGCUUACCAAGCCGACGAUCUGUAGCUGGUCUGAGAGGACGACCAGCCACACUGGGACUGAGACACGGCCCAGACUCCUACGGGAGGCAGCAGUGGGGAAUUUUGGACAAUGGGCGAAAUCCUGAUCCAGCCAUGCCGCGUGCAGGAUGAAGGCCUUCGGGUUGUAAACUGCUUUUGUACGGAACGAAAAGACUCUGGUUAAUACCUGGGGUCCAUGACGGUACCGUAAGAAUAAGCACCGGCUAACUACGUG
rnacentral:rRNA from 1 species